CUCUUCGUAGUUCAAUGGAUAGAACGAGUGCCUCCUAAGCGCUAGAUACAGGUUCGAUUCCUGUCGAGGAGGCCA
rnacentral:tRNA from 2 species